AGACGAACCGGACAAACGCUAUUCGGAAUCAUUGGGCUUAAAGGGUGCGUAGGCGGUGCGGAAAGUUGGGUGUGAAAUCCCUCGGCUCAACCGAGGAACUGCGCUCAAAACUUCCGUGCUAGAGUGAGACAGAGGUGAGCGGAACUGAUGGUGGAGCGGUGAAAUGCGUUGAUAUCAUCAGGAACACCGGUGGCGAAGGCGGCUCACUGGGUCUCUACUGACGCUGAGGCACGAAAGCUAAGGUAGCGAACAGGAUUAGAAACCCCGGUAGUCC
rnacentral:rRNA from 1 species